CCUACGGGGGGCUGUAGUGGGGAAUAUUGGACAAUGGGCGAAAGCCUGAUCCAGCCAUGCCGCGUGUGUGAAGAAGGCCUUCGGGUUGUAAAGCACUUUCAGUGGGGAAGAAAGCCUUGGGGCUAAUACCCUCGAGGAAGGACAUCACCCACAGAAGAAGCACCGGCUAACUCCGUGCCAGCAGCCGCGGUAAUACGGAGGGUGCGAGCGUUAAUCGGAAUUACUGGGCGUAAAGCGCGCGUAGGCGGUCUGAUAAGCCGGUUGUGAAAGCCCCGGGCUCAACCUGGGAACGGCAUCCGGAACUGUUAGGCUAGAGUGCAGAAGAGGUAGGUAGAAUUCCCAGUGUAGCGGUGAAAUGCGUAGAGAUCGGGAGGAAUACCAGUGGCGAAGGCGGCCUUCUGGACUGACACUGACGCUGAGGUGCGAAAGCGUGGGUAGCAAACAGGAUUAGAUACCCGAGUAGUC
rnacentral:rRNA from 1 species